rnacentral:snRNA from 1 species
GUUCUCUUCGGCAGCACAAAUACUAAAAUUGGAAAGAUACAGCAUGGCCCCUGUGCAAGGAUGACGCAAAUUCGUGAAGCAUUCCAUAUUUUG